GUCCAUUCAACGGAGCUCCAUAACCUACAAAAUCCGAAUACAAGUCCUCACUUUUUGAGUCGAUGAGCCAUCACAUCAAAAACGGGUCCAAAUAUCUGAUCCAAAAAGUUGACGAUUCUACAUCGAUGAUGCCAUUCACUAGAUCAGAAGAAGCAAAACAAUCGCAAUUAUGAAAUCCCAGCUCUUUUUAACCUUUCCUUUGCCUGUUUCGAACUCCUUCC
rnacentral:lncRNA from 1 species